UACGAGAGGCCCAAACGUUAUUCGGAUUCACUGGGCUUAAAGAGUUCGUAGGCGGUCUGGAAAGUUGGGUGUGAAAGCCCUCGGCUCAACCGAGGAACUGCGCUCAAAACUACCAGACUUGAGGGAGAUAGAGGUGAGCGGAACUGAUGGUGGAGCGGUGAAAUGCGUUGAUAUCAUCAGGAACACCGGAGGCGAAGGCGGCUCACUGGGUCUCUACUGACGCUGAGGAACGAAAGCUAGGGGAGCAAACGGG
rnacentral:rRNA from 1 species